GACGAACGCUGGCGGCGUGCUUAACACAUGCAAGUCGAACGAAGAGCGAUGGAACCUUGCUUCCAUACGUUUUAGUGGCGCACGGGUGAGUAACGCGUAAUCAACCUGCACUUCAGAGGGGGAACUCCGUGAGACACGACUUCUAAUCCCGCAAACGAUCUAAUCUCGGCAUCGAAGAUAGGAAGACGGUGGCCCCUUCACGUAAGCUAGCACCGACGGCGGGGUAUGCGUCUGGUUAGGUAGUUGGUUGGGGAACGGACUACCCAAGCGAUGUACAGGAGCCGGACCGAGGAGAGUGACGGCCACAUUGGGACUUGGAAACGGCCCAAGCUCCUACGGGGGGCAGGAGGUGGGAAUCCUCCGCAAUUGAGGGAAGUCUGACGAAGCAACGCCGCGUGAGUGAUGACGGCCUUCGGGUUGUAAAGCUCUGUUAAUCGGGACGAAAGGCCUUCUUACGAAUAGUGAGAAGGAUUGACGGUACCGGAAUAGAAAGCCACGGCUAACUACGUG
rnacentral:rRNA from 1 species